GCCUCUGUAGCGUAAUGGAUAACGCGCUGGACUUCUAAUCCAGAGAUUCUGGGUUCGAGUCCCAGCAGAGGUG